CAAGAAAUAAAUCUAAAAUUAUAAAACCCCAAAGCUCAAAAAAAUUGACCCGACAACCGACGAAUUAAAAGGAUUUCAAUACCUCCCAAGCCCAAUAUUGAAUUUAUAUCAUAGGCCAGUAAGAGAAAACCCAAAUCAUAUAUGCUGUCUAGUGAAUUGUCGAUCCGAACACCAGUAAUCCAACAAAAUCAAGGCGUAGCCCAAACUCCUCUUAACAAUCCACAACAUUGAAAUCACAAGAUUGAGACACCAAAUAAAUUAAUCGGGGAUAUCUUGGAGCGUAGUCGCUGCAGAACGAAUAGAAAUCGUCAACAGUUGUUGGCAGCACAAGAACACAGGUGGCCGAACAGAAUACUGAUUUCUCCAACCAGAUUUCGCAACAAGAAUCACCUGCACCCACAAGAUUUGUCAUGUUCACUGACCAGAAACGCAGGCGGCCAAAGAAUCGAUGUCGUCUACUCCAAGACUUGAACAAGAUUAAUCACCGGAUCAAAAUUUAAUCCUCGAGGACUCAAGAUACCAAAAAGAAUCGAAGAAUUUUCUUUGAGGCUCUGAUACCAUGAAGAUAAAACUUGGGAGAGAACUUUUAUUUUUUUCUCACUUGUAUUGUACAGUAAGUUGGUCUUUUUAUAGUACAAGGAGAAUACAUGGAAAAGGAAAUAAAUAAAUCUCCGACAAUUCUAAU
rnacentral:lncRNA from 1 species